UAAUGAGGGUGCAAGCGUUAAUCGGAAUUACUGCGCGUAAAGCGAACGCAGGCGGUUUGUUAAGUCAGAUGUGAAAUCCCCGCGCUCAACGUGGGAACGGCAUUUGAGACUGGCAAGCUAGAGUCUUGUAGAGGGGUGUAGAAUUCCAGGUGUAGCGGUGAAAUGCGUAGAGAUCUGGAGGAAUACCGGUGGCGAAGGCGGCCCCCUGGACAAAGACUGACGCUCAGAUGCGAAAGCGUGGGGAGCAAACAGG
rnacentral:rRNA from 1 species